GGUAAAUAUAUUUCAAUGGUAGAAAAGAUGCUUGUGGUGCAUUCAAUAUGAGUUCAAUUCUCAUUAUUUACC
rnacentral:tRNA from 2 species